ACCACCUAAGGGUUCGGCUAAUGGAUUGUUAAGCCUAGGCUUAACUCGGGCUCUCCCAAGCCCAUUCCAAUUCGCGACUUAGGUUCAAGUUCUUAAUAUGCAAAUGAUGUUUAUCAUGGAGUCGCCACUAAUCUAUUUUUGGUGGGUCGAUUAGAAACCCAAGUAAAGUAAUGGGAGAAUUACUUCACUCCUACGAACCAGAGAUUGUGAGUUCGGGGACUUGGUUACACUAGAUUUCUCUAAUGCCCUUUCGGUACCAUUUCUUUUUAUUUGAAAAAAAUAUUUUGCAGGCAGCUUGAAUUGAUUUUAAUUUAUCAUCCUAACAUGGGAGGUGAUCAUGCGGAUGCGCAAACCACCAAUUUAACACCCAAGAAAGCGAUGAAUAAAUCGCAGGACUUACCUCAUAGCAACGAAAGCAUCUGCAUUGUUAGAUCAGAAUUCACAUCAACAGACCUAGAUAUGAUUUCUAAUUAACAUGCAAUUUUCCUUUUUUUUUUUUGGUUUUUACUUACUUAAUGGGAAUCAUGCAAUAUGCAAUGCAUGCUAUUAAUCUAACAUGAAAUGGCAUGACGAUGUUUUCUAAACUACAUGACGUGAGUAAAAUAUUUUUUUUUAUGUUUUCUUAAUGAAUAUGCAAUAAUUAAAUAUGCAAAUCAAAAUGACCUAAUUAUAAUGACGGGCAAUUUUUUU
rnacentral:lncRNA from 1 species